rnacentral:lncRNA from 1 species
ACAGAGCUAGGAUUUGCAAACAUAGUCUCCAUUCCUUGUGUCUUAUUUGAGCUUGACCUUACAAAACCAUCAACUCCUGGGGGCAAAGGAGAAACAUGCUAAAUGCACAAACUCGACAACAGAGAGAUGGAUUUGAGGACCAGGCCUCUUGCCUUUUCUCUACCCAUUCUGCCUUGAAGGGUAAAGCCAGGUGUUUCAAGCUGGACUUUGGCAUGAACUAGACAGAAGUCAGUUUCAGGCUGAAGUUUCUGGUGAAACUUGGAAGGCAAAUAAGUUGUGCUGCUGAUUAGAAAAAGGCUCACUUGUUUUGAAAAACACAAGUGAAGAAUUCCCAUACACUGACUGCAUAUAUUAGACUUUAGCCAAUGUUCCCUUUGACUUUCUUAACACGGUAGGUAAGGACAUCAUCAUCAUCAUAAUCUCUUAUAUUUCCAUAGCAUUUAUUUUUGAGGCAGGGUCUUCCCCUGUUGCCCAGGCAGGAGUGCAGUGGUGUGAUCAAUUCUCACUGCAGCCUCGAACUCCUAGGCUCAAGUGACCCUCCUGCCUCAGCUUCUCGAGUAGCUGGGCCUACAGUCGUGCACAUCAUGCUCAGCUAAUGCUUUUUGUAUUUUUAGUGAAUAUGGGGUCUCACUGUGUUGCCCAGGCUGGCCUCAAAAUUCUGAGCUCAAGCAAUCCUCCCACCUCAGCCUCCCAAAGUGCUGGAAUUAUAGGCACAAACCACUGCACUGGGACCUAUAACAUUUUAAUCAAAUUGCUUUUUUAUAUCUUGUUUCAUUUUGGUCUCACUUCAGUGCUGGUAGCGAUGUUGAACUGAUUUUGAAACAUCACUGUUUUUAGACAAAUAAAACACCAAAAGCUUUAAGUUAUUUGAUUUGUGGAGCAACAGAACUUGUUAUGAGCAAAAUGAACCAGGACUGGAACCCUGGUCUUUUGAGAAUCCCAGACCACCAGAAUUUGAAGAACUCAGGGAAACUGAAUUAGAGUUUUUGAUAUGGACUGAAUCACUGUGGAAUUAUUAUAAGAAACUCUUUGGCAGUGGAACAACACUUGUUGUCACAGGUAAGUAUCGGAAGAAUACAACAUUUCCAAGGUAAUAGAGGGAAAGCAGGAAAUUAUUAAACUGGAAUAAUGUAAUAAUGUUUAGAAAAAAGAGGAAUUGGAUGGGGAUUUGAUGUAGAAAACUUAGGAGAGACUUUAAAACAAACGCUCAUACUAAAAGAGAACAUAGAUAACAUUGCACAGAUAUCAUAAUAAGAUUUGGCUUUGUGCAUAUACGG